AUACGUAGGUGGCAAGCGUUAUCCGGAUUCACUGGGCGUAAAGCGCGCGUAGGUGGUCCUUCAAGUCAGAUGUGAAAUCUCCCGGCUUAACCGGGAGGGGCCAUCUGAUACUGCUGGACUCGAGGGUGGUAGAAGAAGAUGGAAUUCCCGGUGUAGUGGUGAAAUGCGUAGAUAUCGGGAGGAACACCAGUGGCGAAAGCGGUCUUCUAGGCCAUACCUGACACUGAGGCGCGAAAGCGUGGGGAGCGAACAGGAUUAGAUACCCUGGUAGUCCACGCCAUAAACGGUGGAAACUAGGUACAGGGAGUAUCGACCCUUCCUGCGCCGUAGCUAACGCGUUAAGUUUCCCGCCUGGGGACUACGGUCGCAAGACUAAA
rnacentral:rRNA from 1 species